UACAGAGAGUGCAAGCGUUAAUCGGAAUUACUGGGCGUAAAGCGCACGUAGGUGGAUAUUUAAGUCGAAUGUGAAAGCCCUGGGCUUAACCUAGGAAUUGCAUCCGAUACUGAAUAUCUAGAGUAUGGUAGAGGGAAGUGGAAUUUCCGGUGUAGCGGUGAAAUGCGUAGAUAUCGGAAGGAACACCCGUGGCGAAAGCGGCUUCCUGGACCAAUACUGACGCUCAGGUGCGAAAGCGUGGGGAGCAAACAGG
rnacentral:rRNA from 1 species